UGUUCAUUUGUUUUUCAGAUUUCAUAGGUAAGUUAAAUCAUAGGAUAUUUGUCUUUCCUAGUCUGGCUUUUUUUACUUAGUAUAAUACUCUCUAGGUCCAUCCAUGUUGUUGGAAAGGGAACAAUCUCAUCCUUU